GAUUUUCUCUCUAAUUUACAUGCGAUAAGGGCUCGUUCGUCAUUUUGUUUGCAGAGAGAAACUAGAUUAACAAUCAAAUCCCUUAGAUUUCGAGCUUUCCACAACAAAUGGCGAUUCGAUUUAGUAAAUUUUUCCAUAUUCUGCACACAAUAUCUUAUCUCGCUUGGCACUAUACUGGUUUUGGGAUUUGGGGUUCGUUGAUUGUUUUUUCCUUUCGAUUGUUUUGGGUUCAAUUUGUUAAUCUUGUUAUUCACCAAUUCGUCAGCUGUUGUGUUUUACUUUCAUCUGGUAAAAUUCGUCCAACUUUUCCUGUAAAUUGUUCUUUAAAUUCUUUUAGUGUUUUAAUGACUUUACCUUAUAGCGUGCAAAUAAUUAGUAGUCGUUGAUUUGUAAGUGGUGUUUCUUUGAACGGUUUUUUUUUCUUAGGUAUAUGCAUAUUUAAAGAUUUGGUAUAUUGUUCUUCAGAUUGUGUGUAUUUUCUUUGUAAUAAUUGUUAAAAAGUCUAUUGUGUUGUUGAUGAUGAACUAUUAUCUGUUCGUUUAUGAACAUAACUCCUAGUUUAGUGAACCUGAGUUUCCAUGUGUUUAUUGGUAUGAAUUCUUUGCUCUAGGGAUAUGGGUUUUUAAGAUUUCAGUCUACAAGAUUUUAAUAGUUGAGAAACUUAUUGUGUGUGUGUUAGUUGUUAUGUUUGAUAAUGCAACAAUAUGGUUUAUAUUGUUUCGUAUUGUAAUUAAUUUAGCUUGUAUGAUAUUAAAAAUUAAAAAUUUUGGGUUUUAUAUGAAUUUAUUUAUUUAUGAACAGGUGCAAAUACAAGGACAGGGUGAGCACGGGGCAUUAAGCACAUUAGACUAGAACAUAUGUCAAUGACUCUAUAUUGAAUGUUUUAUAUGUUCAUAUUGUAUUUUACAUAUUUGGAGUUUGUGGUUGUUUGAGCAUUCUACUAAUGUUUUUUUAUAACAUUUAAGGUUGUUCGAGAAGGUGUCCAAGUUCGUAGAAACCAUUCAAAGAUUCAGAUGCUGAAAAUCUCAAAAUUCCGAACUACCGAUCGACAUUCAACUGGAAAUUUGCACUAGGAAGCCGCUUUCAAAGCAGGAGAAGGAAAUUGGCAUAUACGAAGCUGCGACAUGGCUGAGGAACCUGAUUGGAGUAGUGGCGGCAAAAGGUUUUCCAGCCGAGCCUUUCGAGAAGGUGUCGAAGCUCGAUUAUGUUCAGAGAAUUGUUGAAUUGUCUGUGUAUUCUAAUUGGAUUUUUGAUACAAGUUUUUUUUACUCCAAAUAUUCUAAUAAAUUGUACUCUCCAUUUUUGUUA